GAAUUCUUUGCUUCAUAGAAAUGUGUAAAAGAUGCUAGCCGUACUUAAAAGCCGAGUACUCUACCGUUGAGUUAGCAACCCAAAUAAUUCGAAUGGGUAGAUAGAAUCGGAAUAAAAAAAAUAAAAAAAAAAAAAAGGAAUUUCAAAACGGAAUCAAAAAAUGAAAUUAGCAAGAACUCGAAUCAAAAAAAUUUCUAAUCGAUUUUGAACAUAAAAAAAAGACAACCAAAACCUAUGGAACGGAGAUAAAUGGGCCCAUUUCUCCAUGAGAAAAUUAUAUUUGUUCACUACAAUAUUGUCAAUAUGACAUUGAAUAUUGAAUAGCAAGAUUGAGAAAAUACUAAAAACAUACAAUAACAAAA
rnacentral:lncRNA from 1 species